GAGGGAAAGAAAGAAAGAAAGAGAGAGAGAUUACUACACCCAGCCUUUUAUAAAGCCGUUUCUUUCAUUAUAACAGGUCUUUUCAUCCCAGUGACACAGAACCUUUAAAUUUGGGCAUAAUACUCCAGUACAGUACACAGCUAUAGCUUCAAAUGGAUUUAGAACCUGCUCCAGAAAGAAAACAAACUCCCUCGUUUGACACACAAAUUGUUUACGAUUCAUUAAAAAGCAAAAUUGCAUAUCCCAGUGCUGGCAGCUGAGUCCAUAUGGGUGCAAGGGGUAUUCACUCAUCUCUUUGUAUGCUGGCAGUACCAAACCGAAGUUUAGCACUGUGCAGCUGAGAUUUUGUGCAGCCAGACGAUGCAUGAGUUGCAAUUGCUGAGAACCUUUUCAGCUCAUUGCAACAGUGUGAUUUAGAUCUGUUCCUAAUUUCGGAGGCGUUUUCCUUGGGAAGCCUCAACUUCGAUGAGUUACGAGGAGGAUUUCCUUAUCUCGAACAGUGACAAUUGGUUCAAGUGCCACGUGAGAGCAGGCAGUUGAUUUUUGGGCAGCCACUGAAUUCAUGCAAAGUUGCUGACAACGAGUAUGUUCUAGCUUUUGGAAAUCCUAUAAUCCUGGCUUCAAUCAAGAGGAUCUGCUGUUGCUGAAGGCGUAAACAAGGAGGGAAGCAGCAUGUGACCGCUGCUACUGCACCUUCAAGGACUCCCGGAGCCAAAAUGAGUGCAAUGGUCUAAAACUAUUGCCGUGGAUGGAUGAUGUCACACAUAAAAUGCAACUGUUGAGUCACCUGAAACCUAAUUUUGAGAUGAGCUCCUUCGGGUUUUAUUUUUUCUCUGUAUCUUCAGAGAUGCAACUGGACACUGAUUAUCUCUGUUCCAGGAUGUUAUUUGAGCUAUGGCUAAGCUGAUAUUAACACAAAUAUAACCUCAUUCCAAAUUUUCUGUGUAUACAGAAACAUCUGCUAUAGCUGCACAUGUUGCUCAUCUUUAGGAUGCCCUGUUUUGCCCUAAGUAAAAUACAUUUCAGGCUUUCUGGUGCUGUGAGAAACGACUCUUCUGGAUUUCUCCAUGCAAGCUUGCUUCCAUGUAGGUCAGGAAGAGAGGGUUGCAGAAAGACCCAAAGAACACAAAUGGAAACUGAGGGAAUGGCUCCAGCCAGCUUUAAUAUUUGAGAUCCACAGGGAGUGGGAAGAGAGAGAGGCCAGCAGGUGAGAAUUCAGAAGCUCUGCACAUUUCUAUUGUUAAGUUUGUCAGACACAGGAUGCUGAGUGCGGGUGCUUACUGAGCCCACAACUAUUUGUGCAGGCACAGGUAAGUCUCACUUUCCAGUUUGUAGGUAAUGCCACAGGACUACUUUUGGAUUCAAAGAUUGCAGCCUAACACGCUGUAGGAAACUAAUCUCUGAACUUAUCCUUUUGAUUUUUACUUAUUCUUCAAUUUUGGGUAAGGAUUUACUACAAGUGGCUCACAGUGGGGAAAAAAGAUUUUAUUGUUAACCAGGAGGGACAGACCAGUCCUCAAAGUCUCUCUGGAAAUGGCUUUCUUGCACAAGACCUUCUGAGUUCAGCAGUGCUGGUGGACUUUCAGGCAGCAGUGCUAAAUCAGUGCCUUUUAUCAUCUACAGCUACAUAAAAGACUGAGACUCCUCCUUCCUAAUGAGAGACUUCUGUAACACUCUCUGCUUAGGGCUAUUCUUAAGGAAUAGUGAAUCCAAGACAGAUGUGGCAGUGACCAUCAUAUUACUCUCAAAGACCAAAUCCCUCAAAGCAAAGGAAAUAUGAACAAUUAAAACAAUAAAUACACUGAAUCAUAGGAAUUUCCAGUGCCCUCAGUUCUAACUCCAGUUCCACACAUUAAUUUGUAAUUCUUGAGCCAUGAAUAAGUAAAUCCUCUUUUGUUUAGAGAACAAGAUUAAAAUGCUACUAAUAUUAAAACCACUCCUGUUUGCUGGCUCAUACAUCUAUUUAAAUACCUGCCUAUUUCUUUCCUUCAUCUCUUGAGUGUCACACUUGUCCUCCUGCUAAUACCAGCUGACUGGCAGCCAGCAGGCUGAGCACCGCAGGUAAAUACCUAGAGAAGUGCUUUGGCAGGGCUGAGCUCUGUGUAAGCAAAUUUUACAAGCAAGUCAGGCAUAAUCUGUUGAAGUGACUCUGGAUUACUGAAUAUUUAAGAGCAAGAUAACACUUUUGUGACCAUAAAGACAUAUUUACACUCCUGUGUAAUCUGUGGGACUGGACAUCACAGAAGAGAAAACUCUGGAUGUAGUUUAUUCAAAACACAUCACUCUAAACACCACCCUCCCCCCUUUUUGCCCCCCCCCAGUUCACUGGUCAUAGAGACAAAGGAACUGUGGAAAUGAAGUCUGUAGCACCUGUCUCUUCUAGUGUGGCUCUUUAUAUUUUUCAAAGCAGGUUUUAAAAAUCCACAGAAAUCUUAGCUGAUAACAAAAAUUAACACACCAAGAAGGGCAGAAAAAUUUCAACUAAUCAAGUUGAAAAUAUGCCAUGAGUUUAGAAUUUAUGAAAAUUGAUUACUUCAAAUAUUUGAAAAUGAAGUCUAAUUCAACACAUGGUGUACUGCCAGCAAAGAGGAUGUUAUGUAGGAAUUCUUUGAUAUUUUUUCUUGUAUCCACUGGACAUUCCCAUUAAAACAAGGCAAUAUAACAAACGUAAUUCUUUGUUGCCUUAAUUCUGAAGACCUGACCUUUUUCUCAUACUAAAGGGCUUUCUUUUGCAAAGCGUGACUCUGGCUGACAGAUAUGAAAGAACUGGUUGACGUUCUAGGACACAGAAAUAGAAGGAUGCAGGGAUUGCAGAGCGUCCCCUGGUACACCUCCAUCUUUUCCUAGCGCAGGGAUCCACCAAUAAGAAGAUAACACUUCUGUCUAUCAAGGCUUCUUUAGAGGGGAUUCAGGGCAAGGAGCAAUCCUGGGAGUGGGUAAAACAGGAGUUGGCUUUUUCCUUGCACCUCACCUGUCCCUUACAGGAUUUCUUGCUUCUCUGUGCUGGCAGGAGUUUGCAUGAACCCAGAAAUUAGUCUGGGGGCCGAGCUUUUAUCUUCAGAGAUGUCGCUUGAGGAAUAGCUGUGAACUUGUCUCUGUGCUUGGGAUCAAAUGUGCUCAGUGCUAAAAAGCUCAGGAAUGAUUUCAAAACGUACUUUGAAGCCUUCCUGGUGGGAACAGCUGGAAUGUGUGUCUGUGUCACCAGCUCUAAUACUAGGAGCACAAACACAAGCUGAGUCACAGUGGACGACGAUGCUGCUGACAAAAUGUUUUAAACUCCAAACUAAAACAACAAUGGGAUUAUUUAUGGACUGCAACUCUUAUUUUAAUGUCAAUAAAUGUACUGGAUAAAUUCCCCUUCAUUAGCUGGAAACCUCAGAAGGAAACAGAAAUAUUCUGGUAAACCACAAGCUUGUUCUUAGCAAAUAGAUGGCUACAUUUCCACUGCCGAGGCAUAGCCAGACUGUUUCUGCACUGGGAUAAUAAAUCUCUGGGAGUGAAAAACAAAGUCUAUAAAAGCAAGACCUACAAAGUAAGGGUGUGAGACACAUGGCCCUCAAGCCUCCAGAGGAUGGCAUUAGAAAGUAUCAAGAGUAGUUUUUUUUCCUUUUUAUGAAUGGAAAAGAUGUUUUCCAAGCUCUACCGUUCAACUCAAAACAAAUGGUUGGAACGAGUCCCUGUCACUAUGGGAGGUGUUUGCUCUCUUAUCUUCUGGGCUGCAGACAGCCCAGACAGGGUGAGUUGCUUUGACUGCUGUGUGCUCCAAAAUAGCAAAAAAAAAAAAAAAAAAAAAAAAAAAAAAAAAAAAAAAAAAAAAAAAAGGAAAAGCACAGAAAUAAUGUGUUACACCUCCCUGAUUCCUGAGAUGUCUGGGGUGCAGAAGGAGCUGUUCUUUGUAAUAUCUGGCUCCAUAGAUAUGCAUCAGGCCGUGGGAUGCACCAAAUACAGGAUGCUCUAGUGCUUCCCACCCAGUCUCCUGACACCUGCUGGUCCUGGAGAGAAACAGAGGACCCAGAAUUGCCACUGCAGCUCUCCCAUCGAGGGAGAAACUCCAUCAGAUCAGCCAAGGUCAGCUUCCUGCUCCUUAAGAAUGCUUUUCAAAGGCAGACAGAACAAGGCACAGCAUCUUACCAAGUAAUACUGAUGUCUCCUCAUGUUUCUAGAGGGAAUAGUUUCAUGUCAGGACGGAAAAUCCAAACAUCACAGUCACAGAUUGCUUUUUCGUUCUGCUCCUUGGCACUUAUCUGACUUUAUUUUUCCUUUCUAAAUCUGUGGGUUUAUAUCUUAUCCUGCACCUAAUGGCUUGUAAGCUAUUUCCAAGAUGGAAAAUGUGGUAUUCUCUUAUCUGUGCAGCAUUUUGUUUAUUUAUAGCAUGACACUAAUGACACUUUGGAUUUGCUUCUGAGUUUUUUUCUUAUUGUAAAGACAAGGCACACAAAAAAUUGUGUCUGGGUCUAAGUACAUUCUUAACCCCAUUCAAUUUAUUUCAGGUGCUGAGUCCUCAGGGAAGGGGACCAAUGACUAAUAAAUCAGGUGUUUCUUCCUUCACCUACUGGGAUCAAUAGGAAGCAGAAGAAAAAAGUUCUUGUUUGCAUGAGGCAAUGCAGACAAACAGCUCCAUGUAGUGGGUAAGAGCAUAUUUCACAGGCCCUAAACUUUGCACACAGGCUCAGCUUAUCAAGAAUAACAAGACUAAAAAACUGUUUGCUAAGAAGGGAAUACAGGGGUACAAAUAUGGUUUGCAUGUUCUUGGAAGGUACAUACUCCCCUUUUUAUUCAGCAUUUUAUGUAAACCUCAUACUGAGUUGGGCUUCCAAACCCACAGUACUUGAAUAUGUUCCAAAUGAAGCAGAAACACAGAGGGGCAAGAGAACUCAGCACCUUUAUGCAUACCCCCAACCCCCUCCAGUACCAUCCAGGAAUGGAUGGUACUUUGCCUAAAAUAUCUCAUUUUUUCUUUAAAAUAAACGCAGAAUCAGGUUCCUCCUUGUAAUUGCUGCACCACAGAAUAUGGUGAUCACCUUCCUAAAGGGAAACAACAUUCAACACAGCUUAUUUGUGUUGGGAAACCAGGGCUCUGGUGCAUCAUCCAAACCAUUAUUCCACAGUGGAUUAACCCAGACAAUACUUAUCAAAAAUGUCACACCACAAAUAUGAGCCAGGAGUACAUUACUGGGAAAGCUGCCUGGACCAAUGUAAAAUCAGAGAAAAUGGGCAAGUAUUAUGUAUGAACAAUGCAAAACCCUUGCACAGACUGUGAACAUACAUCAUUAUAACCGCUUUUAUAUUCAUUUAAACCAAGUAAAAAAAUUAAGGAAACUAGACCCUGUCCCCUUCAGUGUCUCAUCAGAUUGCAUUAUUCUGACAGCUCCACAGGAACCCAGUGGCUCUGCACUCAUAUUCUCCACUCAUACCUCUGCCAGUAUCUCCCUGACAGCAGUUGCAUGUUUCCAUCCUCCCUGGGGAUGGGACACAUUGCAAGUCCCAUCCUCUCACCUCUGUCGCCUUGUCCUACUCUUUCUGCACUUCAUUAUUUCUCAGACCUGCAGUCAUCAGUUUCCCCAGUCUAGAUCACCUUGCUCAGCAGUCUUAGCUGCACUCAGCAGCAACACAAGCUUAUCCCAUAGGUAUUCCCAUCUCUCCACAUAGCCAAGCUUCUGCUCAGACCUCUCUUGCUCCACAGCUCUGGCCUCUUUUCAUUCUCAAUGUAUUUCUGGUUUCUCUUUCCUCUCACUUUCAUUCUGUAACUCCUUUGCUCUGUCCCACUGGAGUUCUCUGGUCAUUCCCACACCCACUUCUGUGGCAACCUACAAGUCAGAAAAUGCUUGAUUCAUCCCACUUAGCUGGGACAAUAUAAUACAAAGACAUAUAGAGACAAAUAGAGAAAGCCAGAUGAGUUCACUAACCCCUGUGCUUUUUGCCUUCUAACACACCACAUUAUUUGGAGCAGGGAUCUUAUUAACUCUAUUUCUACUGCACCUAACACACAUAGGGGCCAUGAAUGGGGAUUUGGUUUCUGGACCAUUUCAUUCUAGAAAAUAAAUUUUAUGCUAAAUAAAUCCCUACAGAAAAGAUACUGAUAAAAUAUGUCUUCUUCUAGGAUUUAAUAACAAAUGUACUAUUUGGUGCAUAAUAGGCAAUUCAUUUUGCUAUGCAUUUACUCUAUUUAGAACAUAAAGCACUUAAGGAUAUUUGGAGUAUGCAAGACUAUUAGAAAAUCAAUUUCUAUUCUGGUUUAUAGCCCAACCACUUAAAGUCUUAAUUUGCUACAAUUCACUUUCUUAUAUUCUGACUUGGUAAAGUGGAUCAGCUACCUCCUGAACUCUGGUCAUAUGCUUGUUAGAGCUAAACUAUUUAAUUAUUGUCUACCAUAUCCACUCUCUCCACUUGCUUAUUGCCUACAUUUAUGCAUUUGCAGCAUCAGUUCAGGUUGUUUGCACUUGCUGGAGAACCUGCUGCCUCUUUUUGCAAGGUUUGGAGGACGGAGGCUUUGGUUUCACUGAGGGCUAUCCCAUUCCACUUGACAAAUAAACAAACAGCAGAGUAACUGGCAGGAAGUCAUGUCCCUUUGGUGAGCAGGGCUCCAGCUCAGCAGAGGGCAAACCAGGCAGCAUCAUUUUCACUCCAGCACAAAGUGUCCAUUCUUGACUCCUUGACCAAAGGAAGCAAAAGCAGAGGCACGGCAAGCACAGCACAUCUGCAGGGCUGGAUUUCACAGGAAGUUAUGCAGCUCCUCCACAGAUAAGUUUCACUGAAGAACAAAGACUGAUUUUGUUCAAUGCUCCGAGAAUGCUGCAUUGAACCUGGAGCUUUUCUUUCCUUGAAAAUGCGGUUCAGAGAGCAAAAUCUAAUUUCUCCCUCACCCUUGUUUAAAUUAGCUGCACAAUUUUCAUAUCAGCCCUAUACUUACCAUAGGAAAAAAGCUUAAAAGACACCCACUCUUCUCCAACUAAGUUUACAUGUUUUAUGUAUUGAUUUUAGCAGACUACACACAAGUUGGUGCAUCCAAGAUAAAUGUCACAGCAACAAUGACUAAACCAGUUAAGUGAAACUUAGUCUCUGAUAUAGAGCUACCUUAAAGCUUAAGAAACAAAAUAUUUAUGACCAAGAACAAGACAAAUGGUGCAAUAACACAUUAGCAGGCAGUAUUGUCACUGAUUGCAAACAUAUUUUGGGCUUACAUAUUUCAUAUACACCCUGACCUGCAAGGCAUUCUACCCACUACAAUUGGUUUUGCAGCAGCUCAACAUUUACCAGGAGAUAAUGAGGUGUUUUUUUGCACGAUACAGGCAGCAUUAGAUGUAGUGGGAGCCAAAAACAUGAUCAUAUUAAAAGCAAAUAGCAGAGCAGAUUACCUCUUGCCCUCUCUUUUAGCUUGAGCAGCAUAUUCCAAUAAGUGCAGAAGAGACACUGUCAAGCACUUCUUUAUAGUUUCAUUUUGUUGGGUUUUUUUUUAUUUCCAUUGCUUGCAAUGCCCUUGCCCUCUUUAAAAGCUGCAGAAUAAAAUUCCUUUCUCAGUCAAUUUUGUACUUUCUCCCUCAGCAAAGAAUGACAAGGGAUAAAAAAAAAAAAAAAGCUCAAAACUCCAAAAGAAGAAUUAGGGAUAAAGGUUAAAGAUAAGUUUUCAUCAAAAUUUAAAGGAACCACUAAGUUCAAAAGAAGGUCAUCUGCCCUGCUCCUAAUUAUUGCUCAUUUCCACUGCACCCAGCUCUGGGAAAAUAGUGGAGCAUUUUAUAGCAAACCAUAGUUAACAGUGAGCACAGCCUUGGAGACUCUGCUCUUUAAGGAGGGCAGUGGGAUCUUUUCUCAAAAUAUUUCUUGGGCAUUUUUGGAUCAGAAGUUUUGAAAUGUGACGAAAAGAAGGUUAACAGUGGUCUGGGGGAGGCCCCUGGAUCUGAGCAGUAUCACUAUGGCAGCUCAGUGAUGCAUAUCCUAAGAAUUCCCCUUGGUGGCUGCCUGAUCCAGAGUCGGGCCAGGACUGGAAGUAAAGGUUGUUUGUACUGGCUCAGGGACUGGGAGCCCCGUGGGGCAGAUGGGAUCACCUGGGAAGGUGGGAUGAAGGCUGCGUGUUUACUCUGGCUGGGCACUCCAGCACUGGAAGCCAUCCCCAUGAAGGAGAAAAUAUCCAGAGCCCCUGAAUUUAUAGGUUGGCAGCCUCCAAUUUAUUUUUUCCUAACUGCAGUUGAAAAACUGUCUCUUGGUGGUUAUUGAUAGAAAUUUUACUUCAGUUUCAGGACUGAUAAGAUUAUUAUUUUCUCUGUUAACUUAAAAUCAUAUUUCUGCAGACUGUUAUUUAAACACUUGACCCUUGGUGCUGUCUAUCACAUAUAGGAGCACUCCUUACAAUUUAGCAUAGAGUUUGAACAUGGCAUUCACAAUGGUGCACAUUUCUGUAUAAAACAUAUACUUUACAUGUGCUGUGGGACUAAAUUUGAUUUAAUCGCUUUCUCUCGUCAUGUAUUGCAAGAGUGUAAAACAGCAGCACAAGGAAGAAAGAUCUCACCUCCCCAGCUCCCUGGCAGCACCAGUGAUUCAAGAGUUAAUUGGAUGACAUCACAUCAGUGGUUACUCUCCAAUAAUAGUUUGCUCCCUUGUGUGACAGUGGGCAUUUGGGUCAGCAGAUGCCAUAGUGGCAGUGACACAAAGCUUUGCCUGCAUCUUAUCUGUCCUUCCUGUAAACUUCACCAAGCUUCCUUCUUUUAUCCUUUUCUCUAUGGAUCCACGGGGAUGCAGCUCAGCUCUCCAAUACACUGAGAAGGCUGAUUUCUCCAUCCCAAACUCUGAUAUAUUCAAAAUGAAUCCAGAAAGAGUCAGAGACUGAUUCACAGCAUAGAUACAUUACAACAGACAAACCCCAGCCUGCAGCUGGAGUUACUCUUUUGCCAGAGGAACAGACAACUGCUAUUCAAGGAAAAGUAGCAUAUCACCUUGAGAAAACUGUUACAUAAAACCCCAUCUUUCUACCUCUGGAUAGAAAACAGCAACUGGCUGUCAGCUGCCUCCAGAUGGAAAUUAGAUGGAGGAUCUGCUCCAAGAUGGUGCUUUCUGAUCCCACCUCUGAUCAGUGUGGUGGCCUAAGCAAAGCCACUGUCUCCUGCUUCCUCCUGCCCCCCUCCAAAUUCCCCAGGCAGUCAAACUGCUGCGGAUGUGCAAAUAGUUCAGGAGCAGCAGCCUGGCCAGCAGGUGAAAGAAAUUACUCCCACUACCUAUAGAAAAUACAAUCAUGAGAAGACAUGUGGUUUGGGACAGGGAGCUGCUAUGAAAUGCACAGGGGGCAACUGGAUAUUUUCCUCUGCCCAAGUAUCCCCCAAACAGUCCAAAACUUUGCUGUUUGAGAAGAUAUGCAAAGCAGAAUGUAAUUCAUUGUGUCCAGCAAUAAACAAAAUAUUAAGUGCAUUUUUAAUGCUGUAAAACCUUUUAAAAGACUUUUAAACCUUUUACUGUGGGACAUAAUUAAAAUUGUUUUGCUAUCUGCAA